UUUCUUUAAGUGUUAAAAGUCCUCAAUUGCCACCCAAGCUGCCAAGCUCCCUCUCCGCUUCCGCACCUCCGUCGCCAUCGCCUCCCGUCGGUCAUAUUUCUCUGUCGAUGUAGAAGCAGGUGUUGCCGGUGCUCCAGCAGUGAGAGCCGCAAGUAUUACCUCUUCUAGAAGUCUCCUCUCCUAAUACUUAUUUAUUCCGCUGCUUCUCUCCCCACCCCAACAGGAGGAGGGCAUGACAGAAACCAAGCAAAGAGAAGACACAUGAAAUUUUUCACAGGAAUCAAAAUUUCCUGUACAAUUAUUGAUCAAGAAUCUCAUCAUUACGGUGACAAUGCAUUUGACCUAAUACUUCUCUUGAAGAACAAAUCUAUCAUCUCAUCAUCGUACGUGUCUCCGAUGUGAACAGACAAGUUGGUAGACAAAUUAAUGCUUGCAUAACACGAGUCUUUAAAUAUUGAACGAUGCACGAAAAUAGAAACCGUCUUCGGAUCUGCUUGCACCCAAAAUUUGCAUUUGCAUCACGUAAAUCAACUGAUGUAAACCAGCUUGCAACUAUUGGAAUAAACCUCGUGAAAGCUAAGUCUGGGAUGUCUGCAUCAAAGUUUAGCAUAAUACUUAACAUUAUCGCUACUUUUUCCCCGUCCUCGUUGUAAAGGAAGCGAUCAAAAAAUAAUAGCCUGUCGCUUUACAGACUAGAAAAUGCGACAACAUAGUGCAUCGAUAAGAUUCUCAAAGCAUUAUUAGCUCACAAACGACUCCAUCCGUGUUCUUCGGUUGACUGAGAACAUGCAAGGUAAUUGAAAGAACACGGCACUAGAAUCAAGAACACUGCAUUCCAUAGUAAGAAUGAUGCUUGGUUAGAUGUGAGCUUAAAGGUCCAGCACCAUCGCUACAGUCACGUUCACCUUUCUAAAGGAGCUAGAGCUGAACCAUGAACAUGGUCUUCCCCUGCCUCAAUUCUCAACUCUAUCGUUCCUUUCUACUUCCCUUCCCGGACCUCCCACCAGAUUCUUAUUCCUAUCUAUUUCUUUCGAAUUUGGUUUCCCAGCAAUUUCAGAUGCUGCAGGUUUUCCCCAACAACAAGGAAUGAGACAAUCAUAAAAAAUUGAAGAAAAACAAACAGUCAAAAACUCAAUCUUUCAAGUCAAAGCAACAUUACUAACAGUGGUAGAACUCUCUCUAUCCCUCACAAAGAAGAAAGAACAAGAAGAAGAGAUCCACGACCUAUCAAUCACAAGCAACCCAAUAGAAAAGAACACCAAAGGAGAGCUUUUUGUUGACGCAUGUGCAACAUGGGGAUGGCAGCAGUGAGCAGCGAGAGAGCGUGAGCGAAAACCCUACCCCCGAGAAGCCAGAGAGGAAGGGCGAAAUCAGCGGGCGGCCAAGGGAACGGGGGCGCGGACCCGCAGGGCGUGGGCCGGCGGGGGGAGGGGCGGCGGCGGGGAGGCGAAGGGGAGACGCCGCAGGAUGAGGAAACGGAUGCGCCAGGGUAAGAGGGCGACGUGGAGCAACUGCUCCAGCACCCGCGCCACCAGCGCCGUGUACUCCUCCAGCAGCUCCACCCCGAUGGCGACGAGUAUCAUUUCUUCUCUUCUCCAAUACACCAAGUCCUCGUUCUCCUCAAACAAAUAUCUAGGUUCCGUUCGGAUCCGAUCGCGCGAUAUCCGGCGAUAAACCUUUUACCGCUUCCUUUCUUGCUCAAGAUUUGACAGCACAGGUGACGGAAAGCUUCGGACUUAUUUCAGUGAUCGGUUGGUAACUCCUCGCUAUAUAUAUGUCAGGAUUUAUAUAGAUAAGACAAAGAUCAAUCGAUGUGAAGGGGUAUACAUUUCUGAAGCAGCGGGAAACGUCUUCCUAUGUGCUACCGCUGCUGGGAUCGAAACUUGGACAACUAUGUGAGCGAGUCGACGGUAUCGGUUUGAAGGACCAAACCGCAUAAACUGAAGACACAACGCGAUCGUUUUAGCCUCUUUUCGAAGGCGCCGCCCCCUUCGAUCUUAUCCGUUUCCAAAACCAGAUGUCGUCACCACCUUGCACGAGAGGCAGCCUGCCCUUCUAUUAAUUACGAACUAUGGAACUUUCCGGAGGUUCUCAUUCGGUCAGGGUAGGCCCCGCAUUUCUCUCCAAUUGUAAGACCGGUAAUCUGCUGGGGUAAACUAAUACGAUAGGAAGAGCACAGGUCCUGUUUCCCGGUUUCAACGUUGGCUUAGGCUGACGCAGGGUGAGGCUUAGGUGGGAGCGGGCGACUUCGGGUAUUGAGAUAGUGGCUUUAUUGUUCCGGAUAUAAUAAUUAUUAUUAUUAUUAUUUUCACUAUUGUUUGGACGGAUGGCUGUGAUGUAGUGGCGGGAAGGAGUUAGUAAGAUGGGAUGAUGAUCAUGAUGAAACUAUACAAAAUUAAUCUAGUGAUUCUGGCCGCUACAAAUCAGGGGUAGCCCCAUGUAUGGCUCGCCAUUGUUUUGUUUGACUUAAUUUUGACCAAAGAACCAUUUUUAAAUUAUCAAAAACUCUUUCAAAAUCUCAAAAAAUAAAUGCCUACGGAUUCGGUGGUACAAUCUCAAAUGCUCGAUUUGCUGAUAGACAGUUAACGGCUAAUUCAAUCAUAAUUCAUAAAUAUCAUUGUUAAAGAUCUAAUAUACUUAAUCAAUGACAAAUUUGAUUGAUUCGGUGGUAUAAUGCCUUUCUUUUAUAGAAGAUUGUGGAAUUCUUCCAUGGGAAGAACUAUAAUUAGUCACUUCUAAUUUUAUUUUUAUAUAUAAUAUUAAAGAUAAUAUUUUAAAACAUUAUAAUUAAUGAACAAUAAGUAAAUAUUACAGUGUUGGGUCCUUCUGUCUAAUUAUCUCCUUUUUUUAUUUUAGAAAUAUGUAAAUACAUUAAUUUAGCCAACUAUAAUAAAAUAUCUACACCAUCUAAUCAAUUACAUUUUAAGACAUUAGCCCGGCAUAACACUUGAGGCAUCUCCUACAGUCGCCCCCACCUUUUAAAUCUUUAUAUUAUGUGUGCUAUGCAUACAUACAUAUACAAACAAAUAAAAAGUACAUUUUGGAAAUGAAAAUUUUAAACUCUUUCUAUUCUAUCGUCAGUCAUUUGCCAAUCCACCAAAAAACAAAAAUCCUUCCAUAUAUAGUUAGUGGACAUGCAUUUGGUAUUUCUUCAAUUUUCUUGGAAGACUUCAUAAAAAAAUUCAAGUUAAAUUAAAAAACUUUUUGGCCUUGGCAUUCAUGUCCUUAGUUAAAGACUACGGCCAAUUUUGACAUACAAUUCAAUUUUGUGCAUAUAUUGGACUAUCAUCCAGCGUAUGAACACAUCAAAUACGUAUGUAUGCCGUAUAGAAGGCGUUACUCUGCGUACACGGACGGGCACAGAUCAAAACACAGUCCCUUUUUGGUGGGAUUCGAUAUGUUCGGUUGUAACAGAAUCGCCAAGAUGAAAGUCCUAUCGCGACAGAUGCUCCGUUUUUAAAGUAAAGUCGUUAUCAUAUUCGGCACUCCUCGCGCUCUCGCUCUUCUCCGUGAAACGUCGCUGCUCCACUUGCUUCGGAGAUCUCAACGGCGUAGUAGCGAUGUUUCGCUCCGACGGCGCCGACGCCGACGUCCCGCCGCCAUCGCUCUCAACCUUCCUAUACCCGUCCUCUCCUCAGCCGUCGUUCUCUACCUUCGUGUCGCCGUGCUUCUCGCCGCCGUUGUACGUCGAUCGCCUCGUCUCUUCCUUCGGGCACCUCCCGCGACCGCCACCCCCGACCCCGCCGCUGCCGUCGUACGACUUGUGGAGCCCGUCCUACUCCGCCUUCUCUUCCCGUUCGGCCCCUCCCGCCGACGCCGCUCGGCGCCACGGCUCGUAUGCCUCGUUGGCUCCUCGCCCGUGGGGAUCAGCCGAGAGCCGCUCGAAUCCCGCUUUAGACUUUGGACUUGAACGGCCGGAGUGGCCGUGUACUCCUCGGUUUGGGCGAUUAGAUCGGACGCCUCCUUGGUUGGUGGAUCACUCACUCGCCAGCCGUCCCUCUUCCUCCUAUGGAGGUAAGGCACAUAAUGCCUUGGAUGCUGAUAGGACAAUAGCUUUGAUCAUGUUGAUGAUUGUUAUUUGGAUUUACGUUAGAGCUUGUUGGAUGAAAUGUGAAAAUUUGGUGUCUGUCCAUGGUGUUCUUCAUGGUUUUAGGUUUUAGAUGCACCCGUACCCGACUCAGCAUCUAAUUGGGACAAAAUGCCAUGGCACAGACCCUACCUCUAAUUUGACUGACUCAUAUAUUGAUUCUAGAUUAUUUUCCAUUUUCUAUGGACACAAGUAAGAAUGUUAUUUAUCAACAUAUAUUUCUGAUGCAUUAACUUUUACAAUAUUUCUAUUAUGUAAUCCAGCUGCACAAUAUUCUUCAGACCAAGUACAUGAUGCCUCAGCUAGGGCAAGCUUAACACCUGAUCGCAUUAUAUUUAAAGAUGGAUAUGCAUUUACUCUUCAUGAAAGUCCAUAUAGCGUCAAUGAUUAUUUCUCUCCAGCUGAGCAGGAGAAGUCUAGCAUCCUUCAGAAUGCUGCAGAGAAUGACGUGAAAUUGUCAAAGGAUAGUUGCAACUUGGACAUAUAUGAUGAUUCCUCCUUGAAUUAUUCUGUCAUGGUAAAUGGAUCUUCUGCAUCCAGUGAUUCCACCAAUGCGAACAAUAGAAAGCAUUCGUUAGGUGGAUCAAUGACUUCAAAUUCGAAAAAUUUCAAUUCAUUGUGUUAUCGAUACCGUUUCUGUGAAUCUGAUAAAAGCAUGCCCAUUUCUUCGGACCCACUUGUUCAGUACAAUUUAUCUGCUAAUUCAGCCAGGACAGGAGCUCCAGAUUAUUAUCGGUUUCCGUUUCUAGCUGGAGAUCGUGUAUAUCCUUCUCCUAUUUUAAACAAUUUAGAGGGUUGCAGUCAUUUUGAUCAAGGCGGAUAUUAUCUCUCGGACAAUACCAAACUGGAAUAUUCACAUUUUCCGGAGCAUGUGGAUAGUUUAAAUUGCCCUGAGUAUCAUAAUGAUGAUUUGGGAUCAUUUUCUGUUCAUCGACGGGGACAUCCAAAAUCUGAAAAUAACAAAACAGGAAUGUCAGGAGAUGAAGAGAUCGACACAAGGCAGCAUGCUUGUAUUUCAUAUGUUUUAAGAGACCAAUGUGGUGAAACUGGAGAAAACAUGAAUAUUUUGGGUCAACAAGAGAGCAUUUCACAACCUGUUGUAUCUGGUGAGGCAACCGAUCCUCAGAUAGGUCCUAAGAUUGCAGGUCAAGGUACUCUAAUUCUAAGCCAGUGUACUUCAAGAUCAUACAAUUAGAAUAUGUUUUUGCGGUUUAUCCUAAAUGCCUCAGGUUUUGCAGCCGAAUAUAGACAUCCUGGAAAAGAUUUUCAGCUUCUUCCUAAAACAAUUCUGGGAUUGUCCGAAGUCCUUGUAUCCGAUCUAUACGGUGGUGGUGGCGUUAUUAAUUUGAAGGAAGAGGAUGAGGAGCUUAUUCAGCAAGUAAUUGACAAUCUGAAAUCUCUUAUCAACAGAGGCAGGAAGGUAGAAGGCUCAACAUGUUACAUGUUUCUCGAUAACUCAUUUUAUAAAUGUUUCUGUAUGAUUUAGAAUAUUUUGCUUAAAUGUAUUUAUGAAUAGUGCUUAAUAUAUAAGCUUGGAACAUGGUCUUCUGUAAAAUGUCUAGCUUUUACUUGCUAACUCUCAGAUUGAAAUAUUUAGAUGAAGUCAACAUUGAUGCCGGUAGAACUGAAAUAACUAUGAUGUUUGAAACCUUUUGUUCUUCUCAAGAAAUAAAUUAAAAUAUGCAACUAUUUCAGCCAAUUUGUUUCAUCAUAAUCUUACAGGGUUAAAUCUUUUGAUAACUAAAUUUCUUUUGCCGUUAGCUUUGAAGUGUAAAAAAUUAGUGGUCCCUAUGUGAGAGUAGUAGAACAAUGUUGGUGAUGCCACUAUAUUGUACUGCAUCAUUAUUGUUAUAUCCUUUAAAAUAAUUUUUUUGUUUUGUCUUUUGAAGUUAAGUCAUGAGCACUUUAAAAAAAAUUAAAAGCAUAUGCUUGUUUAGACUUGGAUAUGAUGAAAUAGAUAGGAAGAAGAUAUGAAGCUAACACAUAAAAAAGAAUAAGGACAAGGUAAAAUAUUUUUUGUUUCACUUAAAAAAAUUUAUUAUAACUUCAAAUUUUUUUUAUGUCUUUCAUGACCUAACACAUAGGGUUUAUAUAAUCUCUAUCUAUAUAUUAUAUUUAUUAUAUUCAAUAUAAAUCUCUCUUAUGCAAGAAAUCUUUUUCAUGAACUAAUAAUCAAUUUAGACCUUUAAUAUGAAGUAGUUUUACUUUAUUAUUUUUAUCAUGAUCUAUUAUAAAAUAAAAUAUUAUACUAAUAUAUUUUGAUCUUUCAUAGUAGAUUAAAUUCUUGGCUAAGGUAAUAAUUAACUUGUUAUCAAUAUAAAUCUUGAUUGGCUUCUACUACAACACCUAAAGUUUUUAACGAGGUUUUAGAUUUGGAGUUAAGAAAGCUAACUGAAGUCAGAAAAAAGUCAAGUUCUGUAUACCAAUCUCGUGGAGCUUGACAAAAUCCAUAAAUAGCUUUUCGUAAUUUGCAAACAUGUCUAUAUUGAGGAUGAAUAAAAUCAGGAGGUUGGUGUAUAAAAAACAGCUUCAGUUAGAGUCCCCUCAUGAUCCUCACUAUACCACUCCAGUUCAGCAAUUGCCCAUUCCCUCCAUUCCUACUCUAUCUCUUUCUUCUCCAAAUGUUGGGGUAAUUAGUUCGCCAACACAACCUCAAUUCCGUAGUCUCCAACCGACCACACACUCUAAGAAUGGUAUUUUCAAACCGCGUAAAAUCUUUAACCUUCAUGCUAUCAUGGAUUCCUUAUCGAUCACAGUUGAACUUACCACCUUCACUCAAGCCCAAAAGAGUAGUCUUCUUAACCAUAUUGUAUGACAAACACAAGAAAAUACUGUUAUAUAUUUUGCUUUAUACCAUGAUAGAGCAACAAAAUAUAUUUUCUUUUGAAGAACAUGUGAAUGUAGUUUCACCAAAAUAAAAUAUAAAUCUUAUUGUUCUAUUUCAACUUUUGACUCAAUUACUAUCAGUAUAACCAAUGAGCUUUAACCUUUUAGAUAAUGAAUAUAAUAUGUCAUAGUCAAUUAUUCCUUUAAUAUUUUAUAAAAUUUUUUUAGUGGCCUUUAAAUGAUAUCUUACGAGCUUCUAUAUUCUACUUAGCAAACCAAUUUCAAAUAAUAUCUCAGGUCGAGACAUUUAACUAGAGUUUGUAACCAUUAGAAUUCUUAACAUAAUCUAACAAGAUAUAUUUUUAAUUUUUAUCUUUAAGCUUUUUUUUUUCUUUUCAUCUAGUAUCUUGGCAAAUGCAAUACUUUAAAAAAUUGUCAAAUAAACUCUCGAUUUUUAUAAGCUAUAUACUUUUUUUGAUGUAAUAUUAUCAAUUUGUUUUGUCGAAAACUUGCUAAGCAAAUAAACUAUAUAAGUAAUAACUUUAACAUGUAUUCAUUACUAAAUUCUUAAAUUCUAUAAAUUUACUUUUUUUCUUUUACUUUAACAUGUAAACAUAAUUUUUGCUAUUAUGAUCAUCAGUAAAGAUAAGAAAAUAUACUUCCUUCAAGUGAUAUUGGAUCUGAUAGUGCCAUAAAUAUCUAAGUGCAUCAUAUCAAGUUAAUGUUAUGCUCUUUUUAUUUUUCUUAAUUUCUUAACAAUCUUGUCAUCAUAUUAUACUUCUUUAAUAGUUUUAAGGUCUCAAAAUUUAAGAACCAAAUCUAAGCUAUCAUAAUAUAGAAUUAUCCUUAAUAUAGAUUUUAAAAUAAUUUGAUUGAUAAAAAAUAUAUAAAUGUAAAGAAAAUAUUUUAUUUUUCAUCAUUUUUAUAUGUGAGAUUAAUGUUUUAUUUUGUCAUGAAUUGAAAGAGUGAUAUCUUAAUAUCAUAAUUUUUUCAAGCAAUUACCUCAAGCUCAAAAUAUUAUUUUUCAUAUCAAAAACAUAAUAAACAUCUAAGAUGCAUAAUUUUUUAUUAGUAUUAAGUUCAAGAAAAAAAUUACUUUUACCUUUUACUAGAUAUAUCACCAUAUAUAAUAUUAUCAAAAUAACUUAUAUCUAUUUUGAAAAAAGUUUUUUGUUGUCACACAUGUGAUUUGAAUUUUUAUAUCUAAAUAAUAUGUCAUAGUAUGAUCUUUUUUUCAAAUUAUCAUAAGUCACUAGCAAAAUAAGAUUUUAAUUUUUCUUUCUCAAUAAAAUUUAUUUUAUCAUUUUGAUUGUUAGGAUUAGAAUAAUAUUAAAAGAGUAGUCUCCAUAUUUUUUAUAAAUAUAACAUUAUAUUUUAAACCUUUUAGAAUUUUUAUCACGUCCAUGACCUUAGCCUUGUCAUCAACCUCUUUGUUUAUUUUAGAUUUGUGAUUAGUUUAAUUUUUGCCACCUUUUCUUUUUUGUUCACCACCUCUUCCUCUUUGAGAUUUGAAUUCACUUUUAUUCUAAGAGUAUGCUUGGUUUAUAUUGUAUGCCUUAUAAAUUUUUCUUGUUCUCCUUUUGUAAGUCUUUGUUCAUAAACUUGAAGAGAAUUAAUUAAUUAUUCUAAAGAUAUUUAUUCCAAGUUUUUAGACUCUUCAAUUACAAUAGUAAUAAAAUUGAACUUUGGAUAUAGAGAUCUUAGUAUUUAUUAUUAUUUAUUUAUUUUAUAAAUUUAUUUGAUAAAUAAUAGAAAUAAUUUUUGAAAAAUAAUUAGAAAUAAAUAUAAAAGUAUCUUAUUGUAAUUUUUCAAGCCUAGCUUGUAAAACUUAUAAGUAGUUUUUUUACCAUGUUCAUGCCAUCAAAUUCUUGAAGCCUUUGGUAAAUCAUGAAUAAAUCAUUCUUUUUUUUUUUUUUUUUUGAUUUGUUUUCCUAUUCCUCUAUCCAUUACACCUCAUUCAUCUUGGAAGUUUAAAAGGGCCUUUAUUUAGAUUCAUCAUAAUUUUCUUUUGUCAAUCUAAGAUUUAGAAAUAGAGCUAUUGAAGAGUAAGAACAAGAUAAAAUAUUCUUCCUUUUACUUAAAAGAAACUCAUUAUAAUUUCAUGAAACUUUAUUUCUUCAUGACUGGAAUUUAUCUAGUACCCAUGGAUAAAUUAUAUUAUUACAUUUAAUAUGAAUAUCUUUUCUUGAAGAGAUCCUUUUUAAAAAUUAAUAAUCAAUUUAAUUUAUUCUUUUAUAAGCCUUUAAUCACCUCUUGAUGCAAUGAACUUUAUUAUGCUACCAAGUUUAAUUUCAACAAGAUCUGCUAUAAUAGUGUUAAUAAGUCUGCCCUUGUUUCUACAAUUUAAAUUGUUUAUCAUAAUGUCUGAUACUCACUAUCUAACCUGUAGUGUUUCAUAUCAUUUUCUAUAAAUGAAAAGUUUGACAGUGAUAAAAAGCUUAGCAACAGCAAAAAUAUGAAAGCGACUAUCCNNNNNNNNNNNNNNNNNNNNGAAAGCGACUAUCCAUGGAAUAGAAGUCGGAGCCAAUAAUAAUAACUUCAGCAACUGUGUACCGAGAGAUGUUGAUGUUGAAUUAAAGGGAUGCACGACCAAGGUAAAUAUGUACCAUUUUGAGUCGCAGCGCAAUUUAUCUUAUUACUUCUUGCUGACGUCAAAAGUAUCACGCUUUUUCAUAUCUACAGGAGGCCCUAGAUAUGAUCUUAGGGGAAAACCACUUUAAGUCAGUAGAAGAAUCUGAGAUGCUAUUUUACAAGAAACAUUGGCUGGAGGCAGAAAUUGCAUUAUCCACGGUGAAAUUUCAACUUGCUCAGAUGAAACUUGAGGUAGAAAAUGACAAACUGAAACUGAAAGGUAAAAAACUAAUACCAGGUGAAAUAUAUUUUGUUGCUCACUUUUUUCUAUCAAAUCUGUCACACUGAAUCCAUUACAUGUUAUUUCAGCAAAUUUGGACGAGUCAUCUGAUGUGCAACAGAAGCCUUCACGAUUGUACAAUUUAAUAAGCUUGAAUUCUAUGGAUGACAUUAUCGAGCAUGAUGAACGGAGUUGCCAGGGCAAUCAAAGUUUGUGCAGUAACAUGGAACCACUUGAAAUAAGGCAAAGCAAAACAGAUGAUGUUGAUGCUUCUGUUAUGUCUACUUUCAGAGUCACAAAUGCAUUGCCUGAUAGGUCAAACAGCACUACCAUGGCAGACCAUGCGCAGAUUCAUGAUUCUGCAGAAGUUGAAGGUUGGUUGGGAUAUGGACAGACCGCAAAUGGUCAUCAUCCAAAUGGUGAACAAACUCAGGAAUCAAAGUUUCUACCAAGUCAUGUCGAAUCUGGGUUUUCUUGCUGGAACCAACAAUUCCAUGUGGUUGCUGAACAUGAAAAGCCAGCUAAUGACACUGUGUGUAGGCCACCAGCAGAGAUUCGUGCAUACACUGCUGCUGAGCCAGGUGUUCUUCCUCCUACAUACGGUACAUACGGAAGCGAAGCUAUUGCUGAUGGUUCCAACAGCCAAUCGUCAGAAUGGGAGCACAUCACAAAGGACGAGGCCACAUGGUACUGCUAGGAAACUGGAAAUUAAGCUUCCCAAGCCAUUGUUCAUGCACUUUAGGAAUUUUAUUUUGUUGGUCUAGAUUUAUCGAAAUAAUUUAGAACGUUUCUGUUGCAAACACGAGUUAGUUUUAAUGGCAUGUGCCUUCUCGCUAAUUGUUUCUAUUUUUCUGGUAGUUUAAUACUGAAAUAAUGUCUUAAUGUUUACUCCUUGCAUGUCAUAAUACUAAAGGAUGUUUACCUCAACUCGUGAUAAAUCAAUCAGUUUAUAAAAGCUUGAGAUACUUUAUCGUUAACUUUACAUGCUUCCGCCCAAAUCAAAAUCACAAGCAAAGCACACAUACGCAUAAAACUAAACACUAUCUUCGCUUAGUUGAUAACCCUGCAGCGGCUACGUAUCUCUCCAUCGCUUCCCGUCAGCACGUCUAUCUGACCCAUCUUCACCAUGGCCGCAGCAAACUUCCUCUUCCAGGCGAUCCCACCGCCGGCGGCCGCGUUCUGCUUCACCAGGCCCGCUGUCGUCGAGUCGGUGGCGAGGGCUUGGUCGGAGGCGAAGAGGCCUCGGUUCUGCAGGAGGUUGGCGUAGUAGGCGGUGUCCAAGGUGUAGGGGCUGCGGGGAUCCAUGAAGGCGACGAGGCUGGUGUCGUUGCUGCCCUGCGGACACUGCUGCUUCAGCUGCGACGCGUACGCCGAGUCCAAACUCGGGUCGUGCCCGUCCGUGGAGUUGAAGUCGAAGAGCCUGCUGCUGAAGGCGGCGCAGUGCGAGCGGCCGAUGGUGUGCGCACCUGCAUGCACGCGAGCGUGACCGCAUCAGAUACCUCCAAAUCAAAACAUGGACCAUCUACGUGAUUCGUCAUUUGAUCGAACGGGCUUGGUAUCGAUCACCCAUUCCACUGCACGGCAGAGUGUGUGUCUUCACUCUUCCCCAAUACCAACCAACUUACUGUGUCCAAAGGAUUUAAUGGGAGAGGUGUGGUAUGCUAUUAGAUGCAAUAAACCUGGGAGUAGCAGACUCAAAGCACAUGAAGCCGUUCCAUGGACGAGGUGGGGCGACGUACCGGAGAGAGUGACCAUCUCAUCCUGAGUGAGCCCUUUGCUGGUGAAGCUCCGAGUAAGUUGGUCGACAUCGAACGUGGGACCCGGAAGGCUAGCCAACACCUCAGAAACCAGCGACACCCUCCCGUCUCUUCUUCCAGCUGGGACCUGGUACAUCACUCCUCCCGUCUACAGAACACAACAGGCACAGAGCUUCACAUUAAUGGUCUCUUCUUUUAUAUAUAACUUGUUUGCUUGUCUUACCAUCACCACGCUAUCCCUGGCUGCUAAAGCAAGUAUAUCUGCACACGAGACGACUCCUUGGCAAGCAGCUUCCAAUCGGGUCUUCGCAUUGUCGAUGACUUCGAAUCCCCGGAGGCUUGGAUUGUUGAUGAACGAGUCCUUCUCGGCAGUGUUGUUCGAACUGGAGUCGAUAAGAACAGAACCAUCACAACCCUGUGCAACAGACGACAGUUAGCCAUUCCUUCAGUUCUGAGAGUUACGCCAUCUACAGAGCAGAUUGAAUUUGCUCACCCUCACAAAGCAGUCAUGGAAAUGCAUCCUCACGAGCCCAGCAGCCAGGCCAAUGUUACUCGAUAGCGCUCUCCUGACCUCACUGGCGAUGAUGGAUUCAGCCUGUGGGCAUGUGCUCUUGUAGAACCCGACCUGAAGCUGAGCUUCCAGCACAGAACUAUAGCACAGCACCAGCACAGAAGCUAACACUACUACCACCACUCCCAUCAGCUCCAUCUCUUUCUACAAAAUCACAACUAAGUCCAACACUUGGUUGCUGAGUGCUGCUAACCAAGUUUGGCCACAAGCUCAUUUAUAGCUUGGAAAUAUUGGAGUAGGCUUUGGGCACCAUAUGGAGAGUGGAGAGGCAUGUGGAUAACACGUUGGAUGUCACGGCCAUGGUUGACGACUGCAGCACUCCAGAAAAGGCAGGUGCACUGAUCCGAGGCAACAUAUGAGGCAGUGGACAGGAAAGAAGAGAUCAAACCAAGUACGUCGUCGAUGAUGUUGGAGGCCACCGAAGCACCACUGCGUGAUGGCAGUGGACAUGCAAGAUGGCUGCAAACCAUGAUUUCGGCACGAGGUUUUGACUGCCUUUGCAGGUCGAUGGCGAC
rnacentral:lncRNA from 1 species